GGUUGGUGUGGCAGAGCCAGACCUUUUUCUGUAUUCGAGGGUCUCAGCAUAUCCUCAGAGCCCUGGAGAACCUGUGCCAAGUACCUGUGUGACCCAGGCUGGACCUCUGGCCAACAGGAUUCUUAUUGAGCCAUAGUGACCCUUCUCCCUCAUGACUUCAGGACCUUUAACCAUGGCUCUGAUGGUGAAAAAAUUAUCUUAAGCCUGGAAUUAAGCGAUGAAAGGGACCUUGGAAAUUAUCAACUCUAAACACUUCUUAACAGAAAAUUGAAAGCAGUUAAGAACCUGCCCUCUGCCGUGCUGAGUUGGAGUUCUUGGUGCCUGGGUGAGUCCCCAGGGCCACUGGUCUUCAGAUCUUUCUUACUUGAGAAGAACGCCUCCACCUCCUGGCUCUCCCACCAGUGGUACUGCCACCACCACACACCAGCAUACAGCACAGAUUGCUGCCCAGCUCCUUGGAGAGGGGCCAGUGCAUUUGUCAGGAAUUGAAAAGUUUUGGAGCCAGUUAGAGGACUUUCUGGUACACAAAGUGUUGGCUGGAAGCAUGAUGUCUGCCUGCAGCACACGUCAGGAUGCUGAAUUUAUUAGUGUUUCCUCUUCUCCGGUGCCGGCUUUCCUUGAGCCACAUUAUCAUUAUCUCACACAGAGCUGUUGGAAUUACUUCGUGAUGAUUUCAAAGAAAAUUUUCUUCUCUAAACACUCUUAUCCCAAGAUCUGUCACGUCCAGAGGGUCUUCUGCCUUGCAAGGGGAAACAGUGAAUGCACAUCUGGCCCUUCAUUUCACAGAAGUUGGCAGAUAGCUCAGUUAGAGACAGGGACAUGGAUGAAUCUGGAGAACAUCAUUCUCAGCAAACUGACACAAGAACAGAAAAUGAAACACCGCAUAUUCUCACUCAUUGGCGGGUGAUGAAAAAUGAGAACACAUGGACACAGGGAGGGGAGUACUAAACACUGGGGUCUAUUGGGGGGAAAAGGGGAGGGCCAGUGGGAGGGGGAGGUGGGGAG
rnacentral:lncRNA from 13 species